UCUCCGUCUAAAUUUUCUGCGUCCAAUCAGCGAACAGAGGAAGUGGCUAAGGACAAUGACGUUAAAGUCAGCUCUCGUUGACGGACAUCUUCACGCACGGUGUUUGGUUUGUUUACACAGCCUGCGUUGAUUCCCGGCCAAACGUAAGCGGUUGGUUAUGGCAGAUCCAGAGUGGCACUGGGCAGAUCCAAUGGUUUUAAACUUCAACAGACACCCGCCUUCAAGUGAGUUAACGUUUGCAAAUUGAGUAUUGCCAGACUCUCUGUACAAAUGAAAUGAAAUACGAGAGUCUGAAAGGAACAGGCUACAUUACACCCACACUUGAGCUCCAAUGUCCAUACAGUUCUCUACCUGCUUUUUACUGCAGUGGACCUCCUGGAAUACACUUCUAAACUGCGAUUCUUACCCAUUGGGGACAUGUUGAAAGGUGAGCCGAUGCCGUUUGGAUGCUGGAGCCCGAUAGUGAUUCUGCUCGAACAAAUCUGCUGCAGCAGCACUGACCACUCGGCUGGCUGCGUGGUUCUUCCCUCUUGCACCAUCCAAUUAAAUCCUCAACGAUCAAAUCACCUGCAUGGAGGCACGAGGCCUGAUAUGAGGCCAGCUGAUGGCCAUAGAGCCUCAUGGAGGCCAGAGGUCAAGGGAGGAACCACCAGGAACUGGGAUAGAGGUGGAGAGGGGAACCUACCUAUCUGGAAUAGGUUCCUGCUCGUCACUCCCCAAGAGAGAGAACCAUCAACAUACAGACAGACAGACAGACAGACAGACAGGGAGACAGACGGAGAGAGAUGUAGAUAAGAGGGGGAUAAAGAAAUAUGAACAAUGUGCUCAUUUAAUUGAGUUUUGCGAUGCACAGCCACUGCUCUCGCUUCAAACAUAAGGAAAUGGCCCUUCUGCAAGAUAUGCUGAAAGUAAGGACUAUAUUUGGAUGUCAAAUUAGUCAGUAAUUUAUAGUCCCAAAUAUGUGCACUGAAUUAAAUUAAAUCAGAUCUUUAGUAACUAUUUUUAUGUUCCUUUACGUUGUAGGAAAUUAUAUAUAUAAUUCUGAAGCUCACAUAUAAUAACAAAAAUGGAUAAUUGUCGAUCUUUCAUGUUCAUGCCCACGCUGUGUGAGAAGAAGAAUUGGCGCUCACACAUUUUAUCGCCAAUGAAAAUAAGAGAAUCCAGUGGAAUGGAACUUCCAUCAUGCCCUCUUUUGGGGUGGUCUAAUUGGGUUGUUUUUUCUUGAGCUUUGCUUGAUUCCAGAACAUUUCUACACUUUCUGGACUCUAGUCUGACAUUGUUUGUAAUGUCAGGCGGCAGAGUGAACCACAGCAUGGAGGAGAAGUAAUUGUAGCCGUUUGCAGGCUCCUGGAGCUCUAUAUCUAUAUAAUAUAAGAUAAUAAUAAUAAUAAUAUAUAGGUAUUUAUA